CAAUUGGAUAUGGAUGUGGAUUUGUGAUUGGAAUAGGCCUUGGUUAUUUUGUGUUUUUGAUUGGAAAGCCAAGAUGGCUUGUGAUGAUAUUUGGCGGUCAGCCUAAGAGAAGAGUGAACAGGAGGAGGACAAGGGUGAGGAGGACCAAUGGUUUAACCAUGAAUCAGAUGGUGCAAAUGUCAUAGUUUUAUUUUUGUGGUUAUUUUCUCUAUUGUGUGUUAGUUUUAACUUUCUGUUUAAAAUAAGCUCGAUGUGACUGUGACAAUCUUGUCACUCUUAUUUUAUCUAGCUAGUUUGAUUUGGAAUUGUAAGUUUGUACUCUUGAGUUAGUGCUGCUUUAUAUGUGCCUGUCGCAACAUGUGUUAUUUAAUAAAAUUCCGAGUUUAUAU
rnacentral:lncRNA from 1 species